rnacentral:lncRNA from 1 species
CGCAGGCCGGCGGGAGCUGAGCGCCGCCCGGGCCUCGCGGCUGCUGCAGGACGAAUCCCUGCGCAAUUCCCGGCGGGAAUGCCGCGAGCUGCGGGACAGAGCGGCCACGCUGCGGGACAGCCUGAGCACCGCCGAGAGACAGCGCAGGGCCGCGGAGGAGAAGCUGGGGGAGCUGGAGGAGGCCCGGCAGAGGCUGGAGCUGUGCGAGAGCCGCAGCUCCCGGCUGGAGGCCGAGCUGGGCCGGGCCCGCCGGGCGCUCGCUGAGAGGGACGCGGAGGCGCGGGAGGCGCGGGCGAGAGCGGAGCAGCUCCAGGAACAGCUGGCUCGGGCCGGGCCCCGCCCGGUUCCGUUCCCGGUGCCGUUCCCGGUUCCGCCGGGGAGCGGCUCCAAGGGGGAGGCUCCGGCCGGGUCCCCGCUCCACGAGCGGCUCCUGCAGCUCCAGAACGCGCUGGCCGCCGGCGAGAUGGACCGGAGGCUGCUCCAGGAGGGGCUGGAGGAGGCGCGGCGGGCGCUGGCGGAGGCGCGGCGGGAGAAGGGAAUGCUCCGGGAGCAGCUCCGGGAACAGCGGGAGCUGGGAAUGCUGCGGGAACCGGGAAUGCCGCGGGAACCGGGAAUGCCGAAGGAACUGGGAAUGCCGCGGGAACCGGGAAUGCCGAAGGAACAGGGAAUGCCGCGGGAGCAGCUCCGGGAGCCGGGAAUGCUGCGGGAACCGGGAAUGCCGCAGGAACAGGGAAUGCCACCGGAGCCCUCCCAGGACCCACAGGACGAGGUUUGUGUGUCCGGGCAGGAGCGGGAGCCCCCUGGCCAGGCUGGAUCCCCGCAAAUCCCCGCGGGCUCGGCCGAGCGGGAGCUGGAGGAGGCUCGGAAGCGCAUCCAGGUGCUGCGGGCGCAGCUCUCGGUGCUGGAGCUCCGGGCCCGGCCGCUCCCCGGGGCGCCCGCGGAGCUGCGGCGGGAGCUGGAGCGGAUCCGGCUCGGCCGCGGGGACCUGGAGGAGCAGAUCGCGCUGCUCAAGGAGCAGGAGCUGCAGCGCCAUCCCAACGGAAUUUAGGGAAUUCCACCCAAUUGGGAUUUAGGGAAUUCCAUCCGCUCAGGGCUGAGCCAGCCCCAUCCCGGCCCGUUCUGUCUCCUCAUUCCCUUCCCUCCGGGAAAAAGCCGCACUUUUCCCACCAGCCGACAAAAUUUGUCUGUUUUUUAAACAAUUUUGGACCUCAUGGAUGGUUCACCCCAUUUUCCUGCUGCAGUUUUAAAGGAGGAAAAGAAAAAAAAUGGAAAAUACUCCCUUUUUUUAGCCCCAGAAGACCAAACUGAUUUAUUCCACCCCAUCUUAAUUCCCCCUUUUUCUAACAAAAACCUCCCCGGAUUUGUGCUUUUGAAGGAUUUUUUUAGGAACUGUUUUUUUAUGUGGGAUUUUUGGGGAUUUUUACUGGUGCUCCGAGGUUGGGAAAGCCACGGGAAGGGGGUGGUGGCUCUGAUCCCCCUCAGUCCCGGUGGGAAUAAACGUGGAAAAUCCAAAUUGGGAGCUCUGAGG